rnacentral:rRNA from 1 species
CCCUUAGAUGUUCUGGGCUGCACGCGCGCUACACUGAAGCGUUCAACGAGUAUUCACCUUGCCCGGGAGGGUUGGGUAAUCUUUUGAAAACGCUUCGUGAUGGGGAUAGAUUCUUGCAAUUAUUAAUCUUCAACGAGGAAUUCCUAGUAAACGCAAGUCAUCAGCUUGCAUUGAUUACGUCCCUGCCCUUUGUACACACCGCCCGUCGCACCUACCGAUUGAAUGGUCCGGUGAAAUCUCGGGACGGCGGCUUGGUCGCUUGCGUCCGACUGCUGAAACUUGAUUAAACCAUAUCAUUUAGAGGAAGGUGAANUCGUANCA